AGAGAGAGACAUGCGUGCAUAUCAAUAAGCGGAGGAAAAGAAACUAACUAGGAUUCCCCUAGUAACGGCGAGUGAAGCGGGAAGAGCUCAAAUUUGAAAUCUUAAAGGUUCUACCUUGACGAAUUGUAGUUUAAAGAAGUGUUUUCUGUUGGAGUUUUGGUAAAAGUUCUUUGGAAUAGGACAUCAUAGAGGGUGAGAAUCCCGUAUUUGACCAUUACUUUCAGCUUUGUGAUACACUUUCAAAGAGUCGGAUUGUUUGGGAAUGCAGUCCAAAAUGGGUGGUAAAUUUCAUCUAAAGCUAAAUAUUGGCGAGAGACCGAUAGCGAACAAGUACCGUGAGGGAAAGAUGAAAAGAACUUUGAAAAGAGAGUUAAACAGUACGUGAAAUUGUCAAAAGGGAAGCGUUUGACACCAGUGUUGUUUUUCUGAAAAUCAAUUAAAGAACUGUUUAUGCUAAGUUGUUUAGACUUUAUCAGCUAACUGUUUAGUUUUGAGCUUUUCUUUAAUGCACUUUUCAGUUAACAAGUCAACAUCAAUUUCUUUUGCUGUAAAAAAGCUUGAGGAAGGUGGCUUGAGAUUCGUCUUAAGUGUUUAUAGCCUCUUGCCUAUGCAGUCGGAGAGAUUGAGGUCUGCAGCGUAGAUCCUUCGGGGCUAAUGCAUUUGUGCUAAGUUAUAGCAUUUUAUAGACAACUUGUUGACUAUGAUUUGUCUUGUAGCUUACUCGCUUAUGUUAUUUUACCUACGCUUAGGAUGUUGAGCGCAUGUCUCUCUCU
rnacentral:rRNA from 1 species